rnacentral:rRNA from 1 species
UGGGGAAUUUUGGACAAUGGGCGAAAGCCUGAUCCAGCAAUGCCGCGUGUGUGAAGAAGGCCUUCGGGUUGUAAAGCACUUUUGUCCGGAAAGAAAUCCUUGGCUCUAAUACAGUCGGGGGAUGACGGUACCGGAAGAAUAAGCACCGGCUAACUACGUGCCAGCAGCCGCGGUAAUACGUAGGGUGCAAGCGUUAAUCGGAAUUACUGGGCGUAAAGCGUGCGCAGGCGGUUUGCUAAGACCGAUGUGAAAUCCCCGGGCUCAACCUGGGAACUGCAUUGGUGACUGGCAGGCUAGAGUAUGGCAGAGGGGGGUAGAAUUCCACGUGUAGCAGUGAAAUGCGUAGAGAUGUGGAGGAAUACCGAUGGCGAAGGCAGCCCCCUGGGCCAAUACUGACGCUCAUGCACGGAAGCGUGGGGAGCAAACAGGAUUAGAUACCCUGGUAGUCCACGCCCUAAACGAUGUCAACUAGUUGUUGGGGAUUCAUUUCCUUAGUAACGUAGCUAACGCGUGAAGUUGACCGCCUGGGGAGUACGGUCGCAAGAUUAAAACUCAAAUGAAUUGACGGGGUCAUAGCU